UGUUUCUCCCCGUUCCCCCCGGUACAGACUGCCUCGGAAAGAUCUGGGGCCCUCCGCGUUCGGGAAAGAUUCAGAUACCACAGGAUAUUCAGAUACUGGGCUGCUUACUGGUUAUGGAGACAUAAAAAAAUGCAGUUGUAAAUGGCAACAAGUCAAACUGGGCCUCUGACUAUAAAGGUGUGAAGACCACUCUCUCCAGGGCAAGUAAGAAGUAGGACAGCACAGCCAGGAACAAGAAGGCAGGCAGACAGACACAGGACCGUCUUCCUUUCACUGAAGGAGCCUCAUGGGACCAACAGCCCCUGCUGAAGUCACCAGGACUGCCGUAGACUGGCACAGUGCAUAAGGACGUCAAGCGCUGACCUUUAAGUUCCCACAGCUAAUGACCGGUGACAGUACCAAGAAUCUACAGCGAGUACCAAGAAAGAAACACAAACCGUAGAAAACUUUUUGUUCUCAAUGUCUUCAUUUAAAGUGCCUUGUAUUGUGAGCAAAUUAGUUCAAAAGGUAAAGGAACUUCUGGAACUUAAAACAUUUAAAUUAAAGGACAACACAAUAUUCAUUUGACGUAACAGGUUAUUUCUGGAGCAUGAUCAAGUUAAUGAGUAUAUCAGUAACAUUCUUUAAUAUUACUUCCUCUUAUAUUUAGGUAUUUCUUUGGCCAACUUCACAAAGAUUUUCUUAGUCCUUUAAGUGGUUCUUUGAAAUUUUGGCAUUAACACCUGCUAUUCUUAGAUGCCCUAGCAGCGUGCAAGAUUUUAAGGCUCUGUGCUUACUGUACCCUUUAUUUAACAGGCUUUUAGAAAUGGAGACACUUCUUACAGAAGCUUGAGAUAAAAAUUUAUUUUAAGUUACUGUACGCCCAGUUCAUUAAAGUUGUAUUUAGGAACAGAAUUUAGGUCUUAGUAGAUAAGAGACACUUUGUAUGUUUUACCUAUAUUGACUGAAAAACAAUUUAAGUACCAUGUUAGCUCAACCAG
rnacentral:lncRNA from 1 species